AUUGAACGCUGGCGGCAGGCCUAACACAUGCAAGUCGAGCGAGCGGCGGACGGGUGAGUAAUGUCUGGGAAACUGCCUGAUGGAGGGGGAUAACUACUGGAAACGGUAGCUAAUACAGCAUACCAUCAGAUGUGCCCAGAUGGGAUUAGCUAGUAGGUGGGUUAAUGGCUCACCUAGGCGACGAUACCUAGCUGCUCUGAGCGGAUGACCAGCACAACUGGAACUGUACCACGGUCCAGACUCCUACGUGAGGCAGCAGUGGGAAAUAUUGCACAAUGGGCGCAAGCCUGAUGCACCCAUGCCGCGUGUAUGAAGAAGGCCUUCGGGUUGUAAAGUACUUUCAGCGGGGAGGCGUUACCCGCAGAAGAAGCACCGGCUAACUCCGUGCCAGCAGCCGCGGUAAUAC
rnacentral:rRNA from 1 species